AAACAUGUCUUUUUGAAAUUAAUUUAAAGUCUAGCCUGCCCACUGAUAUUUAUUAAAUGGCCGCAGUAUACUAACUGUGCAAAGGUAGCAUAAUCAUUAGUCUUUUAAUUGAAGGCUGGUAUGAAUGGUUGGACGAAAUAUUAACUGUUUCAUUUAAAUUUAUUAUAGAAUUUUAUUUUUUAGUCAAAAAGCUAAAAUUUUUUUAAAAGACGAGAAGACCCUAUAAAUCUUUAUAUUUUGUUUAUUUUAAUUGUGAAGAUUAAUUUUGUUACUAUAAAUUAAAAUAUUUUAUUGGGGUGAUAUUAAAAUUUAAUAAACUUUUAAUUUUUAAAAUCAUUAAUUUAUGAAUAAUUGAUCCGUUAAUAACGAUUAAAAAUUUAAGUUACUUUAGGGAUAACAGCGUAAUUUUUUUGGAGAGUUCAUAUCGAUAAAAAAGAUUGCGACCUCGAUGUUGGAUUAAGAUAUAAUUUUGGGCGCAGCCGUUCAAAUUUUAAGUCUGUUCGACUUUUAAAUUCUUACAUGAUCU
rnacentral:rRNA from 1 species